rnacentral:rRNA from 1 species
CCUACGGGUGGCAGCAGUGAGGAAUAUUGGUCAAUGGGCUUACGCCUGAACCAGCCAAGUCGCGUGAGGGAAGACUGCCCUAUGGGUUGUAAACCUCUUUUGUCAGGGAGCAACGCCGGCUACGUGUAGCCGGACUGAGAGUACCUGAAGAAAAAGCAUCGGCUAACUCCGUGCCAGCAGCCGCGGUAAUACGGAGGAUGCGAGCGUUAUCCGGAUUUAUUGGGUUUAAAGGGUGCGUAGGCGGAAUGCCAAGUCAGCGGUAAAAUCGCGGGGCUCAACCUCGCUCCGCCGUUGAAACUGGCGUGCUUGAGUGGGCGAGAGGUAUGCGGAAGGCGUGGUGUAGCGGUGAAAUGCAUAGAUAUCACGCAGAACUCCGAUUGCGAAGGCAGCAGACCGGCGCCCAACUGACGCUGAAGCACGAAAGCGCGGGUAUCGAACAGGAUUAGAUACCCCGGUAGUC